rnacentral:rRNA from 1 species
UACGGAGGGUGCAAGCGUUAAUCGGAAUUACUGGGCGUAAAGCGUGCGCAGGCGGCUAUGCAAGUCAGAUGUGAAAUCCCCGGGCUCAACCUGGGAACUGCAUUUGUGACUGCAUGGCUAGAGUACGGCAGAGGGGGAUGGAAUUCCGCGUGUAGCAGUGAAAUGCGUAGAUAUGCGGAGGAACACCGAUGGCGAAGGCAAUCCCCUGGGCCUGUACUGACGCUCAUGCACGAAAGCGUGGGGAGCAAACAGG